rnacentral:rRNA from 1 species
GAUUCGUCACACUAUCAUUAACUGAAUCCAUAGGUUAAUGAGGCGAACCGGGGGAACUGAAACAUCUAAGUACCCCGAGGAAAAGAAAUCAACCGAGAUUCCCCCAGUAGCGGCGAGCGAACGGGGAGGAGCCCAGAGCCUGAAUCAGCAUGUGUGUUAGUGGAAGCGUCUGGAAAGGCGCGCGAUACAGGGUGACAGCCCCGUACACAAAAGCGCAUGUGCUGUGAGCUCGAUGAGUAGGGCGGGACACGUGGUAUCCUGUCUGAAUAUGGGGGGACCAUCCUCCAAGGCUAAAUACUCCUGACUGACCGAUAGUGAACCAGUACCGUGAGGGAAAGGCGAAAAGAACCCCGGCGAGGGGAGUGAAAAAGAACCUGAAACCGUGUACGUACAAGCAGUGGGAGCACCCUUCGGGGUGUGACUGCGUACCUUUUGUAUAAUGGGUCAGCGACUUAUAUUCUGUAGCAAGGUUAACCGUAUAGGGGAGCCGGAGGGAAACCGAGUCUUAAUUGGGCGUUAAGUUGCAGGGUAUAGACCCGAAACCCGGUGAUCUAGCCAUGGGCAGGUUGAAGGUUGGGUAACACUAACUGGAGGACCGAACCGACUAAUGUUGAAAAAUUAGCGGAUGACCUGUGGCUGGGGGUGAAAGGCCAAUCAAACCGGGAGAUAGCUGGUUCUCCCCGAAAGCUAUUUAGGUAGCGCCUCGUGAAUUCAUCUCCGGGGGUAGAGCACUGUUUCGGCUAGGGGGCCAUCCCGGCUUACCAACCCGAUGCAAACUGCGAAUACCGGAGAAUGUUAUCACGGGAGACACACGGCGGGUGCUAACGUCCGUCGUGAAGAGGGAAACAACCCAGACCGCCAGCUAAGGUCCCAAAGUCAUGGUUAAGUGGGAAACGAUGUGGGAAGGCCCAGACAGCCAGGAUGUUGGCUUAGAAGCAGCCAUCAUUUAAAGAAAGCGUAAUAGCUCACUGGUCGAGUCGGCCUGCGCGGAAGAUGUAACGGGGCUAAACCAUGCACCGAAGCUGCGGCAGCGAACGUAUCACCCAAGACAACUUUACGGAGUUGACGAUUGACGGAGCGAAGCGACGUCAAAGCGUUCAUUAAAGUCGAGUUGGCUUAGGGAUACGUUCGUUGGGUAGGGGAGCGUUCUGUAAGCCUGUGAAGGUGUGUCGUGAGGCAUGCUGGAGGUAUCAGAAGUGCGAAUGCUGACAUAAGUAACGAUAAAGCGGGUGAAAAGCCCGCUCGCCGGAAGACCAAGGGUUCCUGUCCAACGUUAAUCGGGGCAGGGUGAGUCGACCCCUAAGGCGAGGCCGAAAGGCGUAGUCGAUGGGAAACGGGUUAAUAUUCCCGUACUUGGUGUUACUGCGAAGGGGGGACGGAGAAGGCUAUGUUGGCCGGGCGACGGUUGUCCCGGUUUAAGCGUGUAGGUGUGUGUUCCAGGUAAAUCCGGUUCACUUUAACACUGAGGCGUGACGACGAGGCACUACGGUGCUGAAGCAACAAAUGCCCUGCUUCCAGGAAAAGCCUCUAAGCAUCA